rnacentral:rRNA from 1 species
UUACCCGGGUUUGACAUUGUAUCGAAGCAUCCAGAGAUGGAUGUGUCUCUUCGGAGACGGUAUGACAGGUGCUGCAUGGCUGUCGUCAGCUCGUGCCGUGAGGUGUUGGGUUAAGUCCCGCACGAGCGCAACCCCUAUCUUUAGUUGCCAUCAGUUCGGCUGGGCACUCUAUGGAGACUGCCACCUAAAGUGGAGGAAGGUGGGGAUGACGUCAAGUCAGCAUGGCCCUUACGUCCGGGGCUACACACGUGCUACAAUGGCCGGUACAAAGGGUUGCGAAGCCGUGAGGUGGAGCGAAUCUCAAAAAGCCGGCCUCAGUUCGGAUUGGAGGCUGCAACUCGCCUCCAUGAAGUCGGAAUCGCUAGUAACCGCAGAUCAGCUACGUUGCGGUGAAUACGUUCCCGGGCCUU